AACCUAUGAUAAGGGCACCUUCUCAAAAGAUCCUUAAAUCUCUCCCCUGCAUCAUAUAAUGUCUCAAGCUCAAAUUGAGAAAAGGAUGGCAUUCCUCAACUUAGUU
rnacentral:snoRNA from 1 species